CUGCAGCUGACCAACAGACUACACCCUGCUGCACUAAUAUAGCCACAUAUAAAAAAUAUUGGAGAGCUCAAAUGCAAACUUCUGUCGAUUUUAAAGACAUCCCUGCAAGCACUAGCCCACAUAGAGAUGAGGAUAACUACCAAUGGAGAGGUCAUCAAUGCAACCAUCAUCAAACUUCUUGAAGAGUUUUUUAGCAACCAGAUCCUGAAUGGAACAGCCCACAGUCUCUCUGUGACACGCAUUCAACGAUUGAGAGCUGGCCCAUAAAAGCUCAGUAUGGACAGAAGUCAAAAAUGACUGAAUGAAGACAACAAUUCAAGGAUGUGUUUGUUUUAACAUAAUGUGAAGCAGUAGUAUGCCUCAGCUGUUUUAUCAUAUUUUGAAAUAAGACACAGUUGUAGACACCAGCUGAGUCCACAAGCCAUCAGAUUUCAAGACAAGAAUUUCUGCAUAAAUAGAAAUAACAAACAGUUUUGUAAUUACAGACUUUUGCUUGUAUUUUACAUAAAUGUGAAAACUGGAAAUGUGCUUUGAUCUGUCAGAGAUUUGUAAGAGGCGUUUUCAGUUCUCCAGCUCGAGAAGCAGAGGUCACUCUGACAAGCCUGGUAACCAGAAAACUGUAAAGAGUGCUUCUUGCAUCCUCCUCCUUUCUAUAUUAAAAAAUAAGGAAAUUACAGUGAGUGAAGCAUGCCAAGUGAAUGAAUACCGAAC